AAGUCGUAACAAGGUUUCCAUAGGUGAACCUGCGGAAGGAUCAUUACAAAUUAUGGCGAACCUUGCUUUUUCGCGAGGUUUUGCGUCCAUUUUCGUAUUUAAAACAUCUCACUCUAUAAAAAAAAAAAAAUGAUAUAUAUAUAAAAAAAAGAUCACUUUCAACAACGGAUCUCUUGGCUCUC
rnacentral:misc_RNA from 1 species